rnacentral:lncRNA from 1 species
CCUGACUGGAGCUCAGCGAGCCGAAGGGGCUGGUGGAGAAGGGGCUGCUGGUCUGGGCAGCCUAGGUUGGGAGGGAGGGUCAUGGCGGGAGUGUGGAGGAGCAAGACAUCCCCACGCCCCCCGCCCCCUGCCCCAGACCCCAGUGUUGAUGAAUAAGAAGCGGAUUAAGAAGAGUGAGAGCUGAAGAGACAGGAGAAUCAGGGACCACGAGAGCCCGUGCAAGAUCCGGAGCACAGGGGCUUCCCUGGGUCCCAGGCUUUCUGCAGGACUCACCCCCAACUACCCCGGUGUCCUCCUUCCAGCCAGCCUCCCCGCGGGUCCUGAGAGGAGAGUUUCCUAAAGAGAAGGAAGAAACUCGGACUUCCCUCCUGUUAUGUUCGGGCUCCUCUGUGAGAAAGAGGAGGAGAGAGGAAAAUGAAGGGCCCAUUCUCUGUCCCCAGAGAGCCCCCAGGAAUGUUGGGAAGAUCUGCAAGGAUGAGCCUGAACCUAGAGCGUGACCUGUAGCUGGACCCUGUGGGAACUCACACGUGCCUCCAGGAAGGACAGUGAGCGGAGCAUACACACCAAUUCUACCGAACCCGUUCCCACGCACAGUCGCCCCCACCCCGUGGUUCCAGAACUGGUGGGUUCUUGAUCUCGCUGACUUCAAGCAUGAAGCCAUGAACCUUCACUGUUGAAUGAGGUGGCCUAUUGCAGAGGAAAGAGCCCUGUCUCAGAAACAAGAGAGUUGGAACACCGAGCCUCACUCUGCCACCAAGGACCUUGGGCAGGUCUGUAUCUUCUCGGAGCCUCAGUUUUUGCAUCUGUAAGGUGGGUAACAUUACAGCAAAUAUACAGCAUUGUUGCUGUGAGUGUUAGAUUAGAUAAAUGUGUAAAACACUUAUCAUUUUACAUGGCAGGAUGAAGGCAUGUUGGAGUUAGGGAAUGUUAGUUUCCCUCCCUAAGAGGACGGGCAGGAGGGCCCUGGAUAAAGUGUCAUGACAAGGAUCCUCCUUAUAAAUUAGGGAGAAGAUGGAGGUGGCAGCCAUAGCAGCUAACAGAGGUGGAAGCCAUGAGAGAGGCCAGGCUGGGAGAGAGGAAACUUUCACUUUCACUCACUUAGCAUGUUUCCAGGAUAUUGACCAUGUCUGGCCCUAGGCUGGAUCCAGGGGCUGACAGGUGAGACCACAGCAGCCCAGGCUGACAUCUCCUCAAAUGAACACCAUGCCAGCUGGAGGUGCAAAGGCUCACUGGAGGCAGGAGGACCCCUUCAGCUAGGGAGGGUUGGGGUUUUGUUUUUGAACUGGGGUUUUAGGGGCAACUAAGAUAGAAGAAAUGUAGGCAUGCCAGGUAGCUUGAAGGGUAUCCCAGGUGGUGGGAACCCAUGGGGAAGCACGGAGACAGGAAAUCGUGAGCGGUGUGAAGGUCUAAGUCACGAUUAUCUUUUUCC